UCGGCUUUUGUUGAAUUAAUGAUAUAAUUUUUAAGAAUUGACGUUGAGUCGAGUGUUGGAAAUCUCGAGGAAACGACUAAGAAUACGGGUG